UGGGGGCGGCCCUGGGGCCGGCGACUGGGGACCAACUCGCCCCCAGGCCUUUUUUUUGCACCGGCUCGCCCCAGGCGGCGAUUUUAGGCGCCCCCUGGGGGGCCAACGGCUGGAGAUGCUCUUAGCUUCUUUCUUUACAUUUCUUAUGAGUUUUGCGUAUGCUGCUGCCUCUGCAAUUGAUGGUAUGUGCUUUCUUUUGCUUGGUAUAAUUUUGGUGUGUGUGUUUUCUGGCGCUAGAUCAUGGGUUCGGCGACGGCGGCCGGAAGCCAGGAGGGCUGGCCAAGGAAGAGGGUGAGGACGUGGGGAUUGAAGAGGGUUCCUAUGCAUAUUGUUCAUUGCAAUGGUAAAGCAUCGUCAGCACUGUAUUGAUGCCAUCGUCAAGUCAUGUAGACUAAUUGCAGAACAAAGCUAUAGUUUUGUUGGGACUAAAAGUGAAAACGAUAAUUGGGACCAAAACUAUGCAUUUCUAGGAAAUAAUAAAUAAGCAAAAGGAUUAUCCACGGGAUGGAGCAGAGGCCGGCGUGGGGCGCAAGGAGCAGCAGUGGCAGAAUGGUGCUCGCUUGCCGGGCGUUGGCCCUCGGAUGAAUUCGACGCCUGAGUCGAGCUGACGAGCCCCAUGGUUUGCUAUCAAUCUCUCGAAAAGGAAAAACAACAUUACUUUGUUCUUGGGAGAAACUUCCUGUAGAGUCGCUACCUUGACAGAGAUAAAUAUGCGAUCAAGGAUAUAUUCAGUGGUUUUUCAGGAAAAAACUUGGAGGAUAUUUUUUGCAGGUUCAUCGCUUGCUUUUUUGCUUUAUCAUGGCGUAUUCGUCCCUUCUUAUCCAAGAAAGGGCUUCUUCAUGUUUGCAGAUAGUUUGGUGCUCUCAUGGUUAUUUUGUCGAGAUUGUCCUUCUGUUCAUUAUUUGGGAACCAUCUCCUGCAGCUCAGCUACUGUCCAGCUGCUGCGCCCUUAUCGUGAUUGAUUAAUGGUGUAUGUUUUCCUAUUAGUUUCUCUGUAUGCUAAUGUCUGAAUUAUAUCUUGACGUUUUACAUUUCUCCAGGCCUUGGAUUCCCUGAGAUGCGCUAUUCGUAGGCAUGCACUUUCUAAUAAAAUUAUGGCAAUCAAUUUGAACAAGUAAUUUAUCUAGCUACAACAACGUAUUGUUUAUGUUCCUUGCUUUCACAAAUAGUAGUUUAUAGUCUAUAUCUGCCAAAUAUUUACACAUUAGUUUAGCCACAAAGUAAGAUGCCAUACUUUAGUGAUGGGUUUGUUAUUCUGCUAUCGUUUCAUGUUGGUUAGCCAUGAUAAAUCUAAUUUCUAGAGUGGUAGAUGAUUCAUGUCAGGUUUCUUUUAGAGAUCGAAAUAUGGUUUGACUCUGAAAUAAGUAGUACGACGUCCAGUUCGGCAUAGGUAGUAGAAAGCAUACUAAUCCCAUUUACAUACUAUGCAAAACUGAAUGACCUUCUAAAGCUCUGAAACUACUAUUUGUUGUGUAAUAUGUAUCCCCUUUUCAUACUUUGUUUCUACUUAGUAGGCAAAAGUACAUGAGAACGAUGGCCUACAGGAUGUGAAUUGCACUAAAAUAUAUGCAGGUUUUGUGCCAGACUAACUGUCACUACUGUGUUUCAGGUGCUUCUUCUGUAACUUCGUAUAUUUUGCUGGCUCUUCUCAUUUCCCUGCAAACCACUUAGUCUGUACAGUUUGUUGUCUUCUACUCCCUCC